AUUGAAUAUUGUCUCCGAACCUUAAUCCCUAAACUUUCAGCAUGGGGUCAAGGUCGUGGGUCUUCCGGGAAACUGGCUGGCCUCCCAGGGUGGAAAGGAGAAGAUGAUUUGAAGUG
rnacentral:ncRNA from 2 species